UGCUUUUCUUGAUUAGUGGCGCACGGGUGAGUAAUGCAUAGAUAAUGUGCCCCUUAGUUCGGGAUAGCCACUGGAAACGGUGAUUAAUACCGGAUACUCCUUCUUGUUAUAAGACAAGUCGGGAAAGUUUUUCGCUAAGGGAUCAGUCUAUGUUCCAUCAGCUUGUUGGUGAGGUAAUGGCUCACCAAGGCUAUGACGGAUAUCUGGUUUGAGAGGAUGAUCAGACACACUGGAACUGAGACACGGUCCAGACUCCUACGGGAGGCAGCAGUGAGGAAUAUUGCACAAUGGAGGAAACUCUGAUGCAGCAACGCCGCGUGGAGGAUGACGCAUUUCGGUGUGUAAACUCCUUUUAUUAGGGAAGAUAAUGACGGUACCUAAUGAAUAAGCACCGGCUAACUCCGUGCCAGCAGCCGCGGUAAUACGGAGGGUGCAAGCGUUACUCGGAAUCACUGGGCGUAAAGGGUGCGUAGGCUGGCUUUUAAGUCAGAUGUGAAACCCAAUGGCUCAACCAUUGAACUGCAUUUGAAACUGAAAGCCUAGAGUUCAGAAGGGGCAGAUGGAAUUAGUGGUGUAGGGGUAAAAUC
rnacentral:rRNA from 1 species